CCGACUUUAGCUCAGUUGGAAGAGCAUCAGACUGUAAUCGGUUAACUCAUCUGAGGGUCGUCUGUUCGAACCAGACAAGUCGGA